rnacentral:rRNA from 1 species
AUUGAACGCUGGCGGCAGGCCUAACACAUGCAAGUCGAGCGAGUGGCGGACGGGUGAGUAAUGUCUGGGGAACUGCCCGAUGGAGGGGGAUAACUACUGGAAACGGUAGCUAAUACCGCAUACCAUCGGAUGUGCCCAUAUGGGAUUAGCUAGUUGGUGGGGUAACGGCUCACCAAGGCGACGAUCCCUAGCUGGUCUGAGAGGAUGACCAUCCACACUGGAACUGAGACACGGCCCAGACUCCUACGGGAGGCAGCAGUGGGGAAUAUUGCACAAUGGGCGCAAGCCUGAUGCAGCCAUGCCGCGUGUAUGAAGAAGGCCUUAGGGUUGUAAAGUACUUUCAGCGGGGAGGCGUUACCCGCAGAAGAAGCACCGGCUAACUCCGUGCCAGCAGCCGCGGUAAUAC